ACUGGUCAGUAGUUAGGAGUAAAUCAGCCGAAGAAAGCAAUUGAAUUGGUGAAAAUUACAUUGUUGUUUGUUUUGGGAUAUGCAGUCGUUGUCUCCUUCACGUUGCUAGUGCUUCGAAAUUACAUUGGAUUUGUUUUUACAAACAAUCAGUUCGUGGUAAGAGAACUAUCAAAAUCGAUAUUGAUUUUAAUUAUAUUCCAAUUUUUUAAUAUUACAUGUGCAUGCUGUAGAAACAUACUUAAUGCUUGUGGAAAACAACACAUUACCGGGUUUGCCUCCUUGUUUGCCAAUACAACUGUGAGCCUUCCGUCUGUUAUCAAUUUUGGCUUCGUUUUACGUUGGAAAAUAAUUGGCCAAAGAAAGGUGUGACGUUUUACAAUUUGAAAGAAUUGACCAAGAGAGAGGUUUGAUCAAACUUUGUCUCGAGAAUGAUGAGGAUGAAGCUGGUAGCUGUAAUAUGGAUAUGUCUGAGAAGACUUCUCUUGUCUCACCGGACAACGUCGAAGUAGAUAAAACAACUAUACUGUUUAGGUGUUUCAACUUUUUUGUGCCACUGUUCAUCGUUGUAACAGGUUUAAUUAUUUAUUUAAUAGGGCUAUGUAGUAAUGGCAACUACUGAAAUAGAAAAAGCAUGCUAGAAAAAAGUAUACAACCGACAUAUAUACAGAAUAUUUAUAGUAACCAUGGUGGAUCGAGUACUAUUACCUGUUCUGGAAGGGGCUGUAUAAUAGGGCCUACAUAACGUAGAUUAAGACUAAUAUCAUCAAAUUGUUUACAAAGAUAGCAGGAGCUAUCAAAAUAUCUGUUCUAUUUUAUUAUAUUUUAAUAAAUUUGUGUUUAGCCAGCUAAACUUCAAUGAUUGUACAUCGUCUUUUCAUUGUUUUUACAUUAUAUAUAGAUGAUGUAUGGUUACAAAUUCAACAUUUUAUUGCACUGCAGGCUGUUUCAUGAGUACUUCCUCAAUCGUCAGGUGCUAGGCUCUGAAUGAGACUGCAGAAUGUCAAUCAUACAUGUUGGAACUGCUUAUUGGUAUAAGGUUUAUAUUGGUUUAUUGGUAUAACCAUUAGUAUUCAUAGGGGUAAUUAGAAGAUUAAGAUUAAUUGUAUUUAAGUUGUAUAUAUUAGCGCCCCU